rnacentral:rRNA from 1 species
CGGGGGGGGCAAGCGUUGUUCGGAAUUACUGGGCGUAAAGGGCUCGUAGGCGGCCAACUAAGUCGGACGUGAAAUCCCCAGGCUCAACCUGGGAACUGCGUCCGAUACUGGAUGGCUUGAAUUCGGGAGAGGGAUGCAGAAUUCCAGGUGUAGCGGUGAAAUGCGUAGAUAUCUGGAGGAAUACCGGUGGCGAAGGCGGCAUCCUGGACCGACAUUGACGCUGAUGAGCGAAAGCCAGGGGAGCAAACGGGAUUAGAUACCCCGGUAGUCCUGGCCCUAAACGAUGAAUGCUUGGUGAGACGGGUAUCGAUCCCUGUCGUGCCGAAGCUAACGCAUUAAGCAUUCCGCCUGGGGAGUACGGUCGCAAGGCUG